AUGACCAUCAAAUGAACCCACAUUUGCAGAUAUGUACGUGAUGGGAAUGCGAGUGGAAGUUACGAGUCUAGAAAAUUUGUCAAAGGCAAAGAUUGAGGAAGAGGUGAUUAUACAGUUACAAGAGGAGCUGAUGAAGCUUGGAGUUCCCAGCAACGUCACCAUGCAUCUGAGAGACUAUUAUAAGAUCAAACCCUGAUGAAGGAGGACAGCGCUUUACUGUUUCCACAUUUUAGAGUUCUAGCCUCAGUACUUACUACUUGUAUAAAAUAUAACUGUACUGUCUUUACUUUUAUAAAUGAAUGAUCUUAAUCAUAUAAUUUUAUCUUAAAAUAUCCAUAAUUAACAGG